rnacentral:rRNA from 1 species
GACGUAGGAUGCAAGCGUUGUUCGGAUUUAUUGGGCGUAAAGCGAGCGUAGGUGGCUAGUUAAGUCUGGUGUUAAAGCUAGGGGCUCAACCCCUGUGUUGCACUGGAAACUGGCUGGCUUGAGGAUGGUAGGGGAAGGUGGAAUUCCGAGUGUAGCGGUGAAAUGCGUAGAUAUUCGGAGGAACACCGGUGGCGAAAGCGACCUUCUGGGCCAUUUCUGACACUGAGGCUCGAAAGCUUGGGGAGCAAACGGGG